GACGAACGCUGGCGGCGUGCUUAACACAUGCAAGUCGAACGGAAAGGCCCUGCUUUUGUGGGGUGCUCGAGUGGCGAACGGGUGAGUAACACGUGAGUAACCUGCCCUUGACUUUGGGAUAACUUCAGGAAACUGGGGCUAAUACCGGAUAGGAGCUCCUGCUGCAUGGUGGGGGUUGGAAAGUUUCGGCGGUUGGGGAUGGACUGGCGGCUUAUCAGCUUGUUGGUUGGGGAGUGGCUUACCAAGGCUUUGACGGGUAGCCGGCCUGAGAGGGUGACCGGCGACAUUGGGACUGAGAUACGGCGCAGACUGCUACGGGAGGCAGCAGUGGGGAAUAUUGCACAAUGGGCGGAAGCCUGAUGCAGCAACGCCGCGUGCGGGAUGACGGCCUUCGGGUUGUAAACCGCUUUCGCCUGUGGCGAAGCGUGAGUGACGGUAAUGGGUAAAGAAGCACCGGCUAACUACGUG
rnacentral:rRNA from 1 species